rnacentral:rRNA from 1 species
CCUACGGGAGACUGCAGUGAGGAAUAUUGGUCAAUGGGCGUAAGCCUGAACCAGCCAAGUCGCGUGAGGGAUGAAGGCUCUAUGGAUCGUAAACCUCUUUUAUAAGGGAAUAAAGUGCGGGACGUGUCCCUUUUUGUAUGUACCUUAUGAAUAAGGAUCGGCUAACUCCGUGCCAGCAGCCGCGGUAAUACGGAGGAUCCGAGCGUUAUCCGGAUUUAUUGGGUUUAAAGGGUGCGUAGGCGGCCUUUUAAGUCAGCGGUGAAAGUCCGUGGCUCAACUAUAGAAUUGCCGUUGAAACUGGGAGGCUUGAGAGUAUUUGAGGCAGGCGGAAUGUAUGGUGUAGCGGUGAAAUGCUUAGAGAUCACACAGAACCCCGAUUGCGAAGGCAGCCUACCAAGCCAUGACUGACGCUGAUGCACGAAAGCGUGGGGAGCAAACAGGAUUAGAUACCCGUGUAGUC